rnacentral:rRNA from 1 species
UACGUAGGGUGCAAGCGUUUGUCCGGAAUUAUUGGGCGUAAAGAGCUUGUAGGCGGUUUGUCGCGUCUGCUGUGAAAUUUCGGGGCUCAACCCCGAACUUGCAGUGGGUACGGGCAGACUAGAGUGUGGUAGGGGAGACUGGAAUUCCUGGUGUAGCGGUGAAAUGCGCAGAUAUCAGGAGGAACACCGAUGGCGAAGGCAGGUCUCUGGGCCAUAACUGACGUGAGAAGCGAAAAGCAUGGGGGAGCGAACAGG